GCAGGAGUGGCGAAAUGGCAGACGCGCUGGACUCAAAAUCCAGUGGACCUUAAAUCCGUGUGGGUUCGAGUCCCACCUCCUGCA
rnacentral:tRNA from 1 species